CGCACGGGUGAGUAACGCGUGGAUAAUCUACCCUUAAGAUGGGGAUAACGGCUGGAAACGGUCGCUAAUACCGAAUACGCUCCCGAUUUUAUCAUUGGGGGGAAAGAUGGCCUCUGCUUGCAAGCUAUCGCUUAAGGAUAAGUCCGCGUCCCAUUAGCUAGUUGGCGGGGUAACGGCCCACCAAGGCAACGAUGGGUAGCCGGUCUGAGAGGAUGACCGGCCACACUGGAACUGGAACACGGUCCAG
rnacentral:rRNA from 1 species